AUGCCCUUUCCACCUAAGUCAACUAAAAAGAAAGAUGAUGAAGAAUUUGAACGCUUUCCUGAAAUGUCGAGGCCAGUCUUUUUGCGUACUUGCUUGACUGAUAUCUUGAAAAUGCCUUCUUAUGCAAAGUAUAUGAAAGACAUCAUCACCAAUAAGAGAAAAAUACCGGAAGCUGAAAUCUCCACCAUGCUUGCUAAUUAUACUUUUAAAGAUGGAGUACCUAAAAAACUUGGAGAUCUGGGAAUACCAACUAUACCUUGCUCUAUCAAAAGAAACUAUGUGAAAACUGCUUUGUGUGAUUUAGGAGUUGGUGUUAGUGUUAUGCCUUUCUCUUUAUAUAAAAUACUUGAUUUGAAUAAACUCACACCUACUGAAAUAUCUUUGCAAAUGGCUGACAAAUCAACUGCCAUACCUAUCGGUAUCUGUGAGGAUGUGCCCGCUGUUGUUGCUAAUGUUACUAUUUUGACUGACUUUGUUAUACUUGAGAUGCCUAAGGACGACAACAUGUCGAUUAUCCUUGGUAGACCCUUCUUGAAUACUGCAGGGGCUGCUAUUGAUUGCAAUAAAAGCAAGGUCACUUUUCAUAGCAAUGGUAAUGAGCAUACGAUGCACUUUCCGAAGAAACAAUUCCAAGUGAAUGGUAUUAAUGUUAUUGAAAAAUCUCUGACAAUCACUAUUGGAAGUUUUCAAAUACCUCUACCUACUGUUAAAAAGAAAUAUGAAAUGCUUAUUGUUGGGGACAUCCAUAUCCCCGUUGAGGUAACUUAG
rnacentral:rRNA from 1 species